UAAGCGACUAAGCGUACACGGUGGAUGCCCUGGCAGUCAGAGGCGAUGAAGGACGUGCUAAUCUGCGAUAAGCGUCGGUAAGGUGAUAUGAACCGUUAUAACCGGCGAUUUCCGAAUGGGGAAACCCAGUGUGUUUCGACACACUAUCAUUAACUGAAUCCAUAGGUUAAUGAGGCGAACCGGGGGAACUGAAACAUCUAAGUACCCCGAGGAAAAGAAAUCAACCGAGAUUCCCCCAGUAGCGGCGAGCGAACGGGGAGCAGCCCAGAGCCUGAAUCAGUGUGUGUGUUAGUGGAAGCGUCUGGAAAGGCGUGCGAUACAGGGUGACAGCCCCGUACACAAAAAUGCACAUGCUGUGAGCUCGAUGAGUAGGGCGGGACACGUGGUAUCCUGUCUGAAUAUGGGGGGACCAUCCUCCAAGGCUAAAUACUCCUGACUGACCGAUAGUGAACCAGUACCGUGAGGGAAAGGCGAAAAGAACCCCGGCGAGGGGAGUGAAAAAGAACCUGAAACCGUGUACGUACAAGCAGUGGGAGCACGCUUAGGCGUGUGACUGCGUACCUUUUGUAUAAUGGGUCAGCGACUUAUAUUCUGUAGCAAGGUUAACCGAAUAGGGGAGCCGAAGGGAAACCGAGUCUUAACUGGGCGUUAAGUUGCAGGGUAUAGACCCGAAACCCGGUGAUCUAGCCAUGGGCAGGUUGAAGGUUGGGUAACACUAACUGGAGGACCGAACCGACUAAUGUUGAAAAAUUAGCGGAUGACUUGUGGCUGGGGGUGAAAGGCCAAUCAAACCGGGAGAUAGCUGGUUCUCCCCGAAAGCUAUUUAGGUAGCGCCUCGUGAAUUCAUCUCCGGGGGUAGAGCACUGUUUCGGCAAGGGGGUCAUCCCGACUUACCAACCCGAUGCAAACUGCGAAUACCGGAGAAUGUUAUCACGGGAGACACACGGCGGGUGCUAACGUCCGUCGUGAAGAGGGAAACAACCCAGACCGCCAGCUAAGGUCCCAAAGUCAUGGUUAAGUGGGAAACGAUGUGGGAAGGCCCAGACAGCCAGGAUGUUGGCUUAGAAGCAGCCAUCAUUUAAAGAAAGCGUAAUAGCUCACUGGUCGAGUCGGCCUGCGCGGAAGAUGUAACGGGGCUAAACCAUGCACCGAAGCUGCGGCAGCGACGCUUAUGCGUUGUUGGGUAGGGGAGCGUUCUGUAAGCCUGUGAAGGUGUACUGUGAGGUAUGCUGGAGGUAUCAGAAGUGCGAAUGCUGACAUAAGUAACGAUAAAGCGGGUGAAAAGCCCGCUCGCCGGAAGACCAAGGGUUCCUGUCCAACGUUAAUCGGGGCAGGGUGAGUCGACCCCUAAGGCGAGGCCGAAAGGCGUAGUCGAUGGGAAACAGGUUAAUAUUCCUGUACUUGGUGUUACUGCGAAGGGGGGACGGAGAAGGCUAUGUUGGCCGGGCGACGGUUGUCCCGGUUUAAGCGUGUAGGCUGGUUUUCCAGGCAAAUCCGGAAAAUCAAGGCUGAGGCGUGAUGACGAGGCACUACGGUGCUGAAGCAACAAAUGCCCUGCUUCCAGGAAAAGCCUCUAAGCAUCAGGUAACAUCAAAUCGUACCCCAAACCGACACAGGUGGUCAGGUAGAGAAUACCAAGGCGCUUGAGAGAACUCGGGUGAAGGAACUAGGCAAAAUGGUGCCGUAACUUCGGGAGAAGGCACGCUGAUAUGUAGGUGAAGUCCCUCGCGGAUGGAGCUGAAAUCAGUCGAAGAUACCAGCUGGCUGCAACUGUUUAUUAAAAACACAGCACUGUGCAAACACGAAAGUGGACGUAUACGGUGUGACGCCUGCCCGGUGCCGGAAGGUUAAUUGAUGGGGUUAGCCGCAAGGCGAAGCUCUUGAUCGAAGCCCCGGUAAACGGCGGCCGUAACUAUAACGGUCCUAAGGUAGCGAAAUUCCUUGUCGGGUAAGUUCCGACCUGCACGAAUGGCGUAAUGAUGGCCAGGCUGUCUCCACCCGAGACUCAGUGAAAUUGAACUCGCUGUGAAGAUGCAGUGUACCCGCGGCAAGACGGAAAGACCCCGUGAACCUUUACUAUAGCUUGACACUGAACAUUGAGCCUUGAUGUGUAGGAUAGGUGGGAGGCUUUGAAGUGUGGACGCCAGUCUGCAUGGAGCCGACCUUGAAAUACCACCCUUUAAUGUUUGAUGUUCUAACGUUGACCCGUAAUCCGGGUUGCGGACAGUGUCUGGUGGGUAGUUUGACUGGGGCGGUCUCCUCCUAAAGAGUAACGGAGGAGCACGAAGGUUGGCUAAUCCUGGUCGGACAUCAGGAGGUUAGUGCAAUGGCAUAAGCCAGCUUGACUGCGAGCGUGACGGCGCGAGCAGGUGCGAAAGCAGGUCAUAGUGAUCCGGUGGUUCUGAAUGGAAGGGCCAUCGCUCAACGGAUAAAAGGUACUCCGGGGAUAACAGGCUGAUACCGCCCAAGAGUUCAUAUCGACGGCGGUGUUUGGCACCUCGAUGUCGGCUCAUCACAUCCUGGGGCUGAAGUAGGUCCCAAGGGUAUGGCUGUUCGCCAUUUAAAGUGGUACGCGAGCUGGGUUUAGAACGUCGUGAGACAGUUCGGUCCCUAUCUGCCGUGGGCGCUGGAGAACUGAGGGGGGCUGCUCCUAGUACGAGAGGACCGGAGUGGACGCAUCACUGGUGUUCGGGUUGUCAUGCCAAUGGCACUGCCCGGUAGCUAAAUGCGGAAGAGAUAAGUGCUGAAAGCAUCUAAGCACGAAACUUGCCCCGAGAUGAGUUCUCCCUGACUCCUUGAGGGUCCUGAAGGAACGUUGAAGACGACGACGUUGAUAGGCCGGGUGUGUAAGCGCAGCGAUGCGUUGAGCUAACCGGUACUAAUGAACCGUGAGGCUUAACCU
rnacentral:rRNA from 1 species